GUGACGUACCCCACUGUAACAAAUUGCUGUAAUUUCUACAAUACAAUUUUACAGUAACUUCUUGUUCUGCAAUGCAUCAUGGGUCCAAAAUAAUUACAGUAGCUGACAGCAUUUUCCCACAGUAACAUAUUGCAAAAUGCAAGUUGUAUUCUGACUGUAGAUGAUUACAGUUUAAUACUGUUGAUAUCGGAUUGCAUUAAAUUGAAAGAGGAGCUCUUGCACAGGUGAUGUCGGAAGCAGACGCUGUGUUCUAACACUCAUCCAUAAAACAUGUUUCAUUGGACUCAACCCCACCAGUUGCACCAAGAUGGCAAAGCUGGUCAGCCAAAGAAGUGGGAAGGUGCAUGAGAAAAAGAACAGCUCAGUCAAUCCUCAUGUCUCCUCUCUCCUCAGGCGAUUAAUGGACUUUGAAUGGCUUUAAGCGUAAGUCAUAUGCAAAAGAUGAGGAUUCUUGUCUUCCCCACUAUAUGAGUGGACAUUGUUCUUAAAGGGAAAUUUUCAACCAUAUCUCCAUCUAUCGGAGUUAGGGAUAUAGUGUGAAUAACGGAUUUAGCCGCCGCAGCUGCAAAAUCUGUUCUUCCGGCACCAGCACUGUCAUAACACCCAGUAAAAAGGUUAAAAAGUGAGAUUUAAAGGUGCCAGUAGGCAGAUUUUGUUAGUUUUGGACAAAGCCGUUUCCAGUCUGUGCUUAAUUACGCUAACCAGCUUCUGUCUGAAGUCUUAUAUUUAACAUUAUAUCAUUUUAUUCAUUGUUAUUUAUUUAUGGGGAUUCAAAUUGAGUUCUGAAGGAUGUUCAGAAUGUUGUAAAACUGCUGAGUUUUAAUAAAAGUUUUGUUUUGUUGCA